rnacentral:rRNA from 1 species
AGUGAACGCUGGCGGUAGGCCUAACACAUGCAAGUCGAACGGCAGCACAGUAAGAGCUUGCUCUUACGGGUGGCGAGUGGCGGACGGGUGAGGAAUACAUCGGAAUCUACUUUUUCGUGGGGGAUAACGUAGGGAAACUUACGCUAAUACCGCAUACGACCUACGGGUGAAAGCAGGGGAUCUUCGGACCUUGCGCGAUUGAAUGAGCCGAUGUCGGAUUAGCUAGUUGGCGGGGUAAAGGCCCACCAAGGCGACGAUCCGUAGCUGGUCUGAGAGGAUGAUGGGCCACACUGGAACUGAGAAACGGUCAAGACGCCUGCGGGAGGCAGCAGUAGGGAAUGUGACGAAAUGGGAGAAAGCCUGACGGAGCAACGCGGAGUGAGAGAAGAAGGGCUUCGGAUCGUAAAACUGUGUUGUUGGUGAAGAAAAAACGUGGAAGUAACUGUGCACGUCGUGACGGUACCUAAUAAGAAAGCCAAGGCUAACUACGUG